UACGAGGGAUCCUAGCGUUGUUCGGAAUCAUUGGGCGUAAAGGGUGUGUAGGCGGCCAUGUAAGUCAGUUGUGAAAGCCCCGGGCUCAACCCGGGAAGUGCUUCUGAUACUGCUUGGCUUGAGUAUUGGAUAGGUGAGUGGAAUUCCAGGUGUAGUGGUGAAAUACGUAGAUAUCUGGAGGAACACCGGCGGCGAAGGCGGCUCACUGGCCAUAUACUGACGCUGAAACACGAAAGCGUGGGUAGCAAACAG
rnacentral:rRNA from 1 species